rnacentral:rRNA from 1 species
ACGUGCCAGCAGCCGCGGUAAUACGUAGGGUCCGAGCGUUGUCCGGAAUUAUUGGGCGUAAAGAGCUCGUAGGCGGUUUGUCGCGUCUGCUGUGAAAUCCCGAGGCUCAACCUCGGGCCUGCAGUGGGUACGGGCAGACUGGAGUGCGGUAGGGGAGAAUGGAAUUCCUGGUGUAGCGGUGGAAUGCGCAGAUAUCAGGAGGAACACCGAUGGCGAAGGCAGUUCUCUGGGCCGUAACUGACGCUGAGGAGCGAAAGCGUGGGGAGCGAACAGGAUUAGAUACCCUGGUAGUCCACGCCGUAAACGUUGGGCGCUAGAUGUGGGGACCUUUCCACGGUUUCCGUGUCGUAGCUAACGCAUUAAGCGCCCCGCCUGGGGAGUACGGCCGCAAGGCUAAAACUCAAAGGAAUUGACGGGGGCCCGCACAAGCGGCGGAGCAUGCGGAUUAAUUCGAUGCAACGCGAAGAACCUUACCAAGGCUUGACAUAACCGAGAACGCCGCAGAAAUGUGGAACUCUUUGGACACUCGGUUACAGGUGGUGCAUGGUUGUCGUCAGCUCGUGUCGUGAGAUGUUGGGUUAAGUCCCGCAACGAGCGCAACCCUCGUCGCAUGUUGCCAGCACGUAAUGGUGGGAACUCAUGUGAGACUGCCGGGGUCAACUCGGAGGAAGGUGGGGAUGACGUCAAAUCAUCAUGCCCCUUAUGUCUUGGGCUUCACGCAUGCUACAAUGGCCGGUACAAAGGGCUGCGAUGUCGUAAGGCGGAGCGAAUCCCAAAAAGCCGGUCUCAGUUCGGAUUGAGGUCUGCAACUCGACCUCAUGAAGUCGGAGUCGCUAGUAAUCGCAGAUCAGCAACGCUGCGGUGAAUACGUUCCCGGGCCUUGUACACACCGCCCGUCAAGUCAUAAAGUCGGUAACACCCGAAGCCGGGGCCUAACCCUUGGGAGGGAGCCUCGAAGGUGGACGGUA